GGAGGAGGAAUAACUAUCGAACAUAGUCAAUUCCGAUGACAGACAGCCUGAAAUUUUCGCACUUUUAAAGAGGAACUCGCCAUUUUCAUCACUUCUACGUAAAAUGUAUAGCGAUGCCUCCAAAGUACAAGAAAGAAUAGGCGGAAAUUAAUAGAAGCUACAGUCAAUGGCAUAUAUCUUCUCAAAAAAACGAUUAAAAUAUUCAAUUUUUAUUAAGUAUAUAUUUCCCAUUGAGCACUUAAAUGUUCAAUUGAGACUUUAUAGAUUUCUGAACAGUUGCUUGUCUAAAAGAUUAAAGAAAGAUGAACCAAGGUUUAUUCAUAUUCAAGUUAAUUGCUUGAAAACAUACGUUUGUGUUUAAUCGUAUGUAUCUCUCAUUGAAAACGUGAAAACAUAUGGAUUUUAUCAACAGAUUUUCUGUGACUUGAACAUUAUAUUUCUUUUUGGUGUUAUCCUUUUAAGAGAUAUCAACGGAAUAGUAAAACACUGAGUUGCCGAGAUUACAACAACUGUAUAAAAUAAAUAAAAAAGAACGGUAAGAUCGAUAAA